CAGCUCUCUUUGCCACCCCACAACGUGCUUGUUCAAGCAGCUCCUUUUCUUUCAGGUUUUGUGCUUAGAAAGAGUGACAUGAUGCAGGAUGGAGUUGCGAGGAGUUCCCGGACACGGUCAGAGAUGGCUGGAACAGUCGGAUGGAUUUGCAAUCAUGCAAUAAAUGCCCACACAAGACGCCAUGGUCAAAUGGUUGGAGAUCGUUGAGAGUUUGCAGCUAUUGAUGAAAGUUGUUUCCUUAAUAAAAGCAAGUAUCACCACAGAAGGGCCGGUGCAACAUGGCGACGGAAAAAGUGGGUAUUAAGAAUAUUAGGAGUAGGUGACCGCCAGAAACAUCCUGUCUUGUGGCUGGUGUGGUUAAACAAGUGCGUCCGGGAACCACCGUCAUCAGUGACCAAUGGGGCACUUACAGGAGUGCAUUGACUGCGACAGGCUACAGGCACUUCACAGUGAACCACUGUCAGUAGUUUGCGGAUCCAAACACCUUGCGCGCCUCCCAGUAUGUCAACCCCAGCUUUCUCUGUG